rnacentral:rRNA from 1 species
UUUUAGAGUUUGAUCAUGGCUCAGAUUGAACGCUGGCGGCAGGCCUAACACAUGCAAGUCGAGCCUUCACAUGCCUUCGGGUGAUGACGAGCGGCGGACGGGUGAGUAAUGCUUGGGGAUCUGCCCGAUGGCGGGGGACAACCACUGGAAACGGUGGCUAAUACCGCAUAAUGUCUACGGACCAAAGUGUGGGACCUUCGGGCCACACGCCAUCGGAUGAACCCAAGUGAGAUUAGCUAGUUGGUGGGGUAAAGGCUCACCAAGGCGACGAUCUCUAGCUGGUUUGAGAGGAUGAUCAGCCACACUGGGACUGAGACACGGCCCAGACUCCUACGGGAGGCAGCAGUGGGGAAUAUUGCUACAAUGGGGGCAACCCUGAUCCAGCCAUGCCGCGUGUGUGAAGAAGGCCUUCGGGUUGUAAAGCACUUUCAGCGAGGAGGAAGGGGGUAGUGUUAAUAGCACUAUUUC